AGAGUUUGAUCAUGGCUCAGGACGAACGCUGGCGGCGUGCUUAACACAUGCAAGUCGAGCGGAAAGGCCCUUUCGGGGGUGCUCGAGCGGCGAACGGGUGAGUAACACGUGAGUAACCUGCCCUGCGCUUUGGGAUAACCUUCGGAAACGGGGGCUAAUACCGGAUACGACCACGUUCCGCAUGGGGUGUGGUGGAAAGUUUUGAUGGCGUGGGAUGGGCUCGCGGCCUAUCAGCUUGUUGGUGGGGUGAUGGCCUACCAAGGCUUUGACGGGUAGCCGGCCUGAGAGGGCGACCGGCCACACUGGGACUGAGACACGGCCCAGACUCCUACGGGAGGCAGCAGUGGGGAAUAUUGCACAAUGGGCGGAAGCCUGAUGCAGCGACGCCGCGUGGGGGAUGACGGCCUUCGGGUUGUAAACCUCUUUCAGCAGGGACGAAGCGUAAGUGACGGUACCUGCAGAAGAAGCGCCGGCCAACUACGUGCCAGCAGCCGCGGUAAUAC
rnacentral:rRNA from 1 species